AACAGAGUAUUUUCACAGUGUAAUAUUAGUACUUUUACUUAAAGGAAAGGAUCUAAAUAUUUCUUCCACCACUGCAGACCAGACAUUAGCCUUGUCCUCGGUGAAAUGCUCUACUCCCUUAAUGCAAUCCUUACAUAUAUCCCAAACGAACCAGAGAAGAAAUAAGGCAACAGUCCACACGUGCAGCUUUGAAACACAUAGGUAUAUUUUCGAAUUUUCAGGUCCAACGGAACAAACGUGACAUCCUCAUGUGUGAGGUUUUCAUGCAACAGAAAAAAAUAGGAAGGAAGAAAAGGGAUGUUAGGAAGGAAGGAAGGAAGAAAGAAAGCAAGCAGGGGUAUUUAUCCAACACAAGGUACCAGUUCAUCAGAGGCAGUGAAUAAUAGAAAAGGGUUAAAUGGUAGUAGAUCAGGGAGGGAGUAGCAACUGGUGUUCCUUAUGCUACCAGCAGAAGGCAGUGACACCAUAGGAUUCCCAAAAGCAGCGGCAGAAAUGUUUGGUACGAGUUGACAUAACCCUUGCGUUGUCCUCCGUCUGUUUCACCUGCUUAUCUCCCAAUUCUGCGUUAGGCCUACAUCUUCUUAGCCAACUUCAUUCCAACUUGUCACUAGUUUUACACUUCUUGUUGGAAAUCAUGGUCAACAAACCUCAUUUAGUUAAAAAAAAGAAAUUCUAAAAAAACAUAAUCACAGACGGGUUUACUGUAUGUCAAAGUGUAGUCAGUAUAUCGUUACUGUUUUGAAACCAUUUCAUUUUUUUGGAUCCAUUCAUGUUAUAUUUGGGUACUUUGGUUAAAAGAAACCCAAAUUUACGCUAUAUAGAAACUUUAAAAACGGGUCACGUUUGACCCGAGGACAACAGGAGGGUUAAGGUCAGUCCUACUGUCAUGUGGAUGCCGCUGCACCAGCACAGCUCUCAUUGGUAGUUCACUUUGCCACUAUAAUUCAAUUUGUGAGGUAGUGAAAUGUUGGGCAAACACACACACACACACACACA